GAUCAAGUCGUUUGGACCCUAGGAAAGAAAAGAAAAUUCACUACUAAAUUUGUAUAUGAUUGCCUGGAGAGGAACCUAGCUGGGUGCAAUUACAAGUGGAUAUGGAGGGCGAAGAUUCCUCUUAAAAUACAAAUAUUUAUGUGGCAAUUAUUUCAGAACUCUGUCCUGACCAGGGAUGUCAUGAGCAGACGUGGGUGACGAGGAAGGCCUAUGUGUCCCUUCUGUAAUAAUAGAGAAACCUCUCAACAUCUCUUUUUUACCUGCCCGGUUGCUAGAGUUAUGUGGAGGACAGUGGGAUGUGUUUUGGGCACGGAUAGGUGCCCUAACAAUAUUUGGCGAUAUUUUGCUUGGUGUUACUGUUAUCUUCCUGAUGGGGAGAGGUUCUAUACCUUUGGCCAAGCUGCUCUAUGCUGGGCGAUGUGGAAUUGUCGUAAUAAAAGAAUUUUUGAAUUCAAAGAGUUGAGGUCUCCUUUUGAUGUGUGA
rnacentral:rRNA from 1 species